rnacentral:snRNA from 13 species
UCGAAUACCUGGUGCAGGGACCAGGGUGAUCUCAGACACCCUGGCCGCAGGUGAAGACUCACCCCUGCACUCUGGCGGGUUGGAGCUUGCGACAAUCUCUAAUCUGGCUCGCUCGAGAGCGUAGUUUUUGGAUCAUACCUUUUGGGGCGAU